ensembl:snoRNA SNORD24 Small nucleolar RNA SNORD24
UGCCACAAUGAUGACAGUUUAUUUGCUACUCUUGACUGCUAGAAUGACGAGAGUCUUAACCACCAAUCUUACCUGAGGCA